UGGAGGGUUUAGAACAAUUUCAUUAAAAGCCCUAAUUUGUGUAAAACUCCCAUUAUGGUUUUUUUUUUUGCUCGUUUAGAUAAUUCACUCAUUAAAAUUCUGCACAACUUUUACUGAAAAACUGAAAAAACUAAUUUGUCUUUUUUUCUGCAUUGAUUUUUCACAGUUCUGCAUGUAGGAAGAAACAUGUCACAGAUGUGCUUCGCCUCCUGCAGUGUUACAGCCAGACAGUGACCUCCCCACACAAACCCACCACCUGCUUGCUUCAGCCCUCCUGGGCCAGUCGAUCUGACCAAACGCACGUAACAUAAGUGUUUGCACCUGCUGGUGGGAGGCUGAAGAGGGACUCCUGCUUUGGUGGAUGGAACAACAGUCGGUGUUGGCGCUCACGUGCACACACCUGCAGCCAGAUCACCCCAGCUGCUCCCACACGAAGCUGAGAGCUAUUCUGAUCAGCGGGAUAUUAGUGUCAUCAUCUAGUGGUUUUAUAAGCGCAGGGAGGAGAAACUGACUGCAUUCGGACAGACAGAUGCAAACCUGCACCGUGUGUGAUGGGGAUUUACUGAGAGGGGUCCUGACAGAUUGGGAUGUGGGGGCUGUGUCUUAUGAGCCACAUCUCAAAGCUUGUACUGCAUGAAGAAUUUGGAAUGAAGAUGUCAAACUUAUAAACUAUGAGAGAAAUUCUGAGAUGAGAGCAGGUAAUUGGACCAACAAGGAAAAGAGCACCAAUAAAAGAGCAAAUGUUCCAACAACUGGACGUAAUCUGAAGCGAACGUGUGUUUAUUCUUUGUCUUUAGAGUUUACUCGUAAUAAGAAUGAAUGUGUUGUGUUAAAACUGCCUGGAGAAAAGUCUUAGAAGCUAUACUUCACAACUUUUGUCUCCAGCUCAACACCUCAACCGAAUCCCCCUCCAACACACUGUCAAGGUGUUUUACUGCUUUGAGUUUUGCUACUUUGAUAAAGUAAGAAGAAAAAAAAUGGAUAAAAGUUUGAAAAGUUACAAAAAAAAUCACUCCGACUGUAAAAGAUAUAAUUUAGCAGAUAAGACAACGGUAUAGGAAAACAGUGAGAAAGUAGACAUGCUAAAGAGCAGAUAAAGAACCUCUUGUUGGGCUGGUAAAUAUUAGCUUUGCUUUUCCUCUUGCUGUUCUUAUAUAAGUUUUUACUGAAAAAAUAAAGAUGAUUUUUACAGUUUUUAUCUGUCAUUUAGAGACCUAAACAGCCUUAGCUUCUGGCCGGGGACCUCACUUGCAAACUCACAAACAAUGCUACAAUAUAUGUGAAGAAACAAUAACUUUUAGAAUGUUAUUUCCUCACUUUUAUUCAUUACUCAAUAAUUAUUACUUUGUUUAGCAUUAGAAUUUUAUUUUAUUUCAUUUUAUUGUAUUU